CCUGUUGUUCUGUAUAUCCCUACUGACUACUUGAGCUUAUCUUCCCAACCGGUGGUCCAUCUGUCCAGAAGGGCUGGAAGCGUGUGGAGUUUCUUAACCUCUGGCGCCUUUGCAAGCUUGAGAAGUGCACACCAAGAAAGGUUUUCAAUGAUGUGAGAGGAUCCUUUGAAUCUCUUUCUGUAUCCCAGUGCAGAUGAGGAAACUGAGGAAGAGGGCCCUUUUUGUUAAAGAAUGCUCAGCCCAUCAGCGACAGAGCUGGGGUGAGGUCAUGUGAAAAUUCAUCAACCUACUUUUAAGCCCAGCUCAAUGAGUGCCCACCCCCACCGUGAGGAGACCUGGGCCCACAGCCCCAUCAACCUGGUCCAAAAUCAAGGAUGUGACUGACUGGUGACUGUGAAAUGCUCUCAGAUGUCAUGGUUCCUGGAAUGGCCUUUUCAAACACCUCUUCGUUCUCCGGGUCUCUGGUUCACUCGAAUCCAUUUCGUGACUUGAAGUUCAAAAACCAUAGCGCAUUUUAAGCUGGACGACGUAUCCCGAGGGCCGCCCCUCGGCGUGAGAAAGAAACGGUCAACUGCCUCGCGACGCAACCUUCCGCGGCUUCAGCCCGGCGCUCACUUGCCGCGCGAGCCCGCACUCGGCCCGGCCAGGCGCUCCUCUGCAGCGGCUCGCCCCGCGGGAGGUGCGCAUGGAGGCGGGGGCGCCGGAGCCCGCAUCUCAGCGCCGGCCGGGGCAGAGCAGCCCCAACCUUUAAGUUUUAAAAGGUUGAAAGAUAAACACAUAAACGAGAGCUCAUUGUAGAGUUUCUUUUCCU